GGGGAAUCUUGCGCAAUGGGCGAAAGCCUGACGCAGCAACGCCGCGUGCGGGAUGACGGCCUUCGUGGUUGUAAACCGCUUUCAGCAGGGACGAAAUUGACGGUACCUGCAGACGAAGCCCCGGCUAACUACGUGCCAGCAGCCGCGGUAAUACGUAGGGGGCAAGCGUUGUCCGGAAUCAUUGGGCGUAAAGAGCUCGUAGGCGGUUCAGUAAGUCGGGUGUGAAAGCUCCGAGCUCAACUCGGAGAGGCCACUCGAGACUGCUGUGACUAGAAUCCAGUAGGGGAGUGUGGAACUCCUGGUGUAGCGGUGAAAUGCGCAGAUAUCAGGAAGAACACCAGCGGCGAAGGCGGCACUCUGGGCUGGUAUUGACGCUGAGGAGCGAAAGUGUGGGUAGCAAAC
rnacentral:rRNA from 1 species